rnacentral:lncRNA from 1 species
UUUUUUUUCUGUGGGGACUGAAAUAGAUUGCCCUCAUUUUGUUACAUCAGGGUCCAGUGUGUGUCCUUUUCAGCUUUUCCAAGAAACAUGUUAGACUAACUAAGCAGUGAUUUUUAUAAGCUUCGGAGGUAGCUGCCUGCCUGUUUUCAGUAAUUACUGGGUUUGACUUACUUCAUCUAAGACCUACCAGUUCUUGUGGCUUCUUCAUUGGUAGAACUGCAUCUUCAUGUCAAAAUAGCUUAGGGGGACAUGCACAUUGUGAGACUUGAGCACCACCCUGUACUUCAUAACACCUCUUGCUAAACUCAGAAGCAGAGGCCAAUAACAGGAAAUACACAUAUCAGGGUUUGGGGGUGAGGAGAAAUUAAAUCUUACACGAGUGCAAAGAACAAGACAGAUUUUUGAAUGUUAGUAUUGCACACCUAGAUGGUGCAAAUAAAAAUUCAAAAAAAGUUCACUGUUCUUGCCAUGACAUAUUGAGAUGUUCGAUAGAUUUCCGCUUUGUAAGAAACGGGAUUUUGCCAUAGCCUGUUCUCUUUGAUUGGGGUGGGGAGAGCACAGUUUUUUUCUGAACAAAAUAGAGGUGUCUCCAUCCCUCUUCCAGCCCCCCUCACAAUGAAUAUUAAUCAAUAAGAAAAAUAAAUCCUGACACUAAAAAAGAAUAAUCUUACUUAAUAAACUCUCCAAGAUGGAAAACCAGUGUUAGCACACACAAGCAAUUACGGCAUCUGCUGCAUUUCCAUCAGCUUACUGGCACCUAAACCUGAACUUUCAAAGAAUCAUUUCUUUGUUCUCUGUUUGUCAGUGUCUGCAGGGUGUUGUACUUCUACUAAGGAGUGGUGGUUUGAGAUCUAAAAUGUAUCUCAAAUGGGACCACAGAAUAAGUUAGCUGGCUCAAAACCAGAGGAUUUUGGUGAUGCCUGUCAUUAAUCAGAUUGCAGAACAUGAACAAUGUUUCUGUUAGCACUCUGUACAGAGGGAGCCAUCGCGAGGCAUGUUCUGCCAAGUGGGCUGCCUCUCAGUUGUCACUUCGGGGCUGCUGUCCCAUAGGAUAACGCAGCAGGAGAUGAAGAUUUUCCAGAGUACAGUUUGCGUUCAGGUGUUAAACUCAGAGUGAUAGCCAAAGUAAGUUUUGCACCUAAUUGCCACUGUGCUGAUGAAACUCCCACCUUAAUUUUUCAUGGACCAUCCAGAAAGGAGAAGGGACAUUGGAUACUUGUAUCUCGGUUCUGCCUAAAAAAUGUACUGUUGUGCACUGUGACAGUUUUAAACAGGGACAACAUAGACACUACUCAAAAAGUUAAGGCAUGCUGUGGGCAAGAGUUUAUUUUUGCAGUUAGAGGGGCAGCAGGACAAAAGGGACUGAUGCUAAUUGUAUACAGUGCUGAAACAUCAUGGUUGUGCAGUGGGGAGACCUGAUCUGGCAACCAUGGGUUAGUACUCAGUUCAAGGACAGACUUUCAAGUCCGUCUUUGGACUGGACAGUGUUGCUGUGUAAUCAUUAUUACUUGCUUUAUGUGCUAGGGAUGUUGUCUACCAUCUGCUUUCUGCCCAGGAUGCCUAAAUAUAUUCGUAUUCUUGCUCCUGUAUUGAUUUUUCUUGGCUGACUUAACAUGCUAAUUCCUAAUACUGGUCAGGAAAAGCCAAAGAGAUUAGAAGUUCACUUCUGUUCAGCCAGAAGGGUAGAUAUAUUUCCUUCUGCUUCUGUGGAGACAGUUAUGCUUGGCAAAGAAUAGCGAGCAAUUUCUCAGCGUAUCCCAAAUGUGAUAGAUAAGUGAGAAAUCCCUUCUAAACUUUUCUAUAAAGUUUAGAUGGGCCAAGUAGAAUGAUUUACAUAAUUUCCUCACCUCAGAAUAGGAUCCCUCCCUAUACUUUUCCUCACAAUUUUGUUUCAUUCAGCCAGCUCUGAAAAGCUGGCAGUUAGUGAGAUGCUACCUAGAUAGUAAUCACAUAUACCCAGAUUUACCUCUUUUUAAGAGGAUAAAAGACAAUAAUUUAAUGGCUGCCAGCCAGAUAAGUACCAGUUUUAUUUGAUUUUUGGUUAUACUUAGUAAAAUAAGAUUCUUAGAAUAAACAUUGUAACAGCAACCACAGUUUUCCAUUCCAAUCAUUUUGGCCUCUGAGCUCUAUAGGAGGAGAACAGGAGAAAAGGAAACAUCUCAAAAUGCCAUUGUAAAUUUAGCUUAUAGAAAAUUCACCAGCAGGAAAAGGGAAAAAAAAAAAAAAAAGAA